UACGAAGGGGGCUAGCGUUGCUCGGAAUCACUGGGCGUAAAGGGUGCGUAGGCGGGUCUUUAAGUCCGGGGUGAAAUCCUGGAGCUCAACUCCAGAACUGCCUUUGAUACUGAAGAUCUUGAGUUCGGGAGAGGUGAGUGGAACUGCGAGUGUAGAGGUGAAAUUCGUAGAUAUUCGCAAGAACACCGGUGGCGAAGGCGGCCACCUGGGCCGGAACUGACGCUGAGGCGCGAAAGCGUGGGGAGCAAACGGG
rnacentral:rRNA from 1 species